rnacentral:rRNA from 1 species
AUUGAACGCUGGCGGCAUGCUUUACACAUGCAAGUCGAACGGUAACAGGCCGCAAGGUGCUGACGAGUGGCGCACGGGUGAGUAAUGCAUCGGAACGUGCCCAGUCGUGGGGGAUAACUACUCGAAAGAGUAGCUAAUACCGCAUACGAUCUAUGGAUGAAAGCGGGGGACCGUAAGGCCUCGCGCGAUUGGAGCGGACGAUGUCAGAUUAGGUAGUUGGUGGGGUAAAGGCUCACCAAGCCAACGAUCUGUAGCUGGUCUGAGAGGACGACCAGCCACACUGGGACUGAGACACGGCCCAGACUCCUACGGGAGGCAGCAGUGGGGAAUUUUGGACAAUGGGCGCAAGCCUGAUCCAGCAAUGCCGCGUGCAGGAAGAAGGCCUUCGGGUUGUAAACUGCUUUUGUACGGAACGAAACGGCUCUGGUUAAUACCCGGGGCUAAUGACGGUACCGUAAGAAUAAGCACCGGCUAACUACGUG